rnacentral:rRNA from 1 species
UACAGAGGUCUCAAGCGUUGUUCGGAUUCCUUGGGCGUAAAGAGCGUGUAGGCGGCCAGGUAGGUCAGCUGUGAAAACUCGAGGCUCAACCUCGAGACGCCGGUUGAAACCAUCUGGCUAGAGUCCGGAAGAGGAGAGUGGAAUUCCUGGUGUAGCGGUGAAAUGCGCAGAUAUCAGGAAGAACACCCGUGGCUAAGGCGGCUCUCUAGUACGGUACUGACGCUGAGACGCGAAAGCGUGGGGAGCGAACAGG